UGAGGAUAACCGAAGCCGCGAGCCUGGCCGCUCAGAUUGGAUCGGAGCUCUAGGUCUCGCACAAGUGUGGCUGGGCAAUCCGCUCUGGUCGCUCGCGACGUGCAUUAGGCCAAGCGCGCCAAACACUAUGAAGGUAUGUGCAAGGGAGAGAUUAAACAUGUUGGUUCAUCUAACGGCGCUUCGCGUCCUUCUCGGAAUUCACUGCCUAACGCCUUGCGGCUGCCCGGCCAACCUCCAUGUUCUUGCCGUGAUUUGGGACAUGAGGUAACCUUUACACUGUCUCCGAGCCCUCCGAGAAUCACGGGCAAUGCUAGUCGCAGUCCGCCGACUGUGGCGGCACCCGAUGCACAAUGUGACACGAUGCCGACUGCACCGGCAGAACAUUUGGACUUAGACCUUGGAGACACGAGCAGUGACACGGAUGAUGAUUUCUCCAUUGGAUUGAAUCAACUUAACCUCCCAGCUAUUCCAACAGGCGUGGAUUCAUUGGGUGGCCCAGAUGCAAGUGCAAGCUAGGAACCGGUGGUGCAGCCUGAAGCUGACGAUGAUGAUCAGCUACCCCUCUCGGAGCAGGUCAAGAAACUGAAGGGGAAGGAUGUAGUUCACCCAACUGAGCAGACCGAGACGCCAGAAGAUCCGACCUAGCUUCCGGAGAAGGUUGGAGCAGGAUGGCUUGCUCUCAUAGAGAGGGAGGCCUACGUCUUUGAGCUGGUCUCGGAUGGUCCUCGUUUCGUCACCAACUCAGUCCACUCUGUGGACGGCGAGCCCGCGAGGAGGAGCGAUCUGCCUAUAUAAUCCAUGCUGAUCUUGCUCGUCUCUUCCGUUUGCUGAAGAAGACCCCACUCGGCGGUGCCAAGGUAGUGUAGAUGGUCAAACUCCUCAUGGGCCAAUGGGCCAGCAUGUACGAAUCUCCACGCACUGCUGCUGAUCUGGAGUUGCUGAUUACGCACUUGGGGAUGCUAGCCCAGCGCUUAGAGCAUGGGUCUACCUUCGAGGAGGUGACCCAUAACAAGGAUGAGGAAAAUAUGCGUUCCCAUUUGCAGCGUAUCGAGGCUGCAUGUUCCGAGCUGGCAGCAGAGUUCACCCUGGUUCAGAGUGAUCGGGAAGUGCUGGUGAACCAUAAGUGGAAGACUACUUCCCUCCAGGAGAGAUAUGCUUCAACGGCUGCUAAGCAUGAGCAGAAGAUGAUGAAGGACGCACGGGAGCGAGCAGAGGAGCUCCAGUAUGUGGUGGACAUUGCCUCAAAGCAAGAAUCUUGAAGUCUUCGACCAGGAUCUCCAGCAAGCUCGGCAGGGAGGAAGAUUAGAGUAUAGUGGGUAGUAAUCAGGAAUAAACAUUGGCCAUGCUGCAUCUGGCCAUAGAGAGUUUCUUCGA